GGGGACUCAAAUAAAAACAUUCCAGGGUUAUACGGUUAACGGUUUAUGAGUUAAAAAACAUACCGACAAAUAAUUUUCCGUAAAGGUAGAUAACUCCUAUAAAAUUUCAUCGAAUCGCUUCGAUCCAAAUUAGCCAAAAUUUUCUGAGGAUGUAACGAACAAUUUGUAAAAAGAAUUUUGUCGCUAUCUUUUUUUGUUACGAAGGAGAUGCACACACUGAUGAUAAACAGUGAAUAGGGAGAUAACUCUUACAAAGAAAAUGUUCGUCUUAGCAGGGUGAAAUUUAAAAGCGCAUAAACUAUACGAUACAAUAUGAGAAAUAUCUAAGCGACAUAUUGCGAAACAAACAUUUAUCGCAAGAACAAAAUUUGGCGGAAGAAAAAAAAAAAAAAAAAAAAAUAAUAAUAAAAAUAAUAAUAAAUAUAAAGCAAUUGUUUUGAAAACAAUUGUUAGGCAGUCUUUCCCCUCUGAUGAAUGGAUAAUUGAUUUUUUUUAUUGAUUGAUUUGGAAAAAAGGGGGGGGGGGGGUAUUUGUUUGUUUGUUUGUUUUUUGUAAAUGGGGUCUAUAUUAUUAUGUUACCGGAGAAGUUUCAUGUUUAGUUUGGAAAGUUUUUCUUUUAUUUUAGAUACAGCGCGCGCGCAAGAUUGAGGAGACAUCACGUGACGCGGGUUUAUAUUAAGAAAAACUUAGUCUUUUUAUUUCUUUUUAGGUCGGGACGUUGAACAGACAACAUGUAUAGAGAUGGAAUGUACACAAUGUAAUUUCUUUUGUCAUUGUAGGAAAUUGACAUUUUGAUCACAGUUCACCAGCAGUGCAUGUUUUGGAUUUAAUCGAUCCGGUGUAACUUUAAAACACAUUUAAUGAUUAUUUUUUGAUAAUGUCCAUUUUUCAGCACCUGUUUGUAACACAGAUUAGUAUUUCAAUCUCGGAGCGGACAUUUUAUUGUAGGUUUUUACUGAGAUUGACGGACCUAGCAAGCGAUUUUUACUGCAUUGCCAUUUCUUUUUUCUAGGAAAAGUCUUGAGAGAUAUCUGCAAAAAGUUUUUUUAUGAACCUUCAGUACAUGUAUGCCCUGCUGACUGCAAAUUUUCAGGUCGAUUGGACUUGUAGUUUCAGAGAAUAUGUGGAUUUUUUUUUCAGAAGAGACGUAAGAACAAUAAUAAAAUAAAAAUUUUCUUGAAUAAUUGAGAGUUUGUUCCUUCAAUAAACUGUCAUAAAUAAACAGUCAUACAUAUUGAUUGAUUGAUUAGUUGGUUGAUUGAUUGGUUGGUUGGUUGGUUGGUUGGUUGAUUAAACACGUUUGAUAGGGUCACUUAGAACAAGGGAAAAAAAACCUCAAGAGACCUUGCAUCCCGUAUUAAACGCAUGACACGGAAACAUACAUUAAGUGAUUGAUUGGUUGGUUGGUUGGUUAAACACGUUGGUUAAACAUGUUGGUUGAACACGUUGGUUAAACACGUUGGCUGGUUAAACACGUUGGAAAGGCUCAAUUUAAACAAGCGAAAAAAAACAUCUUGGAUCCCGUAUUUAACACAUGAAACGGAAACAUGCAUUGAUUGGUUGAUUGGUUGGUUGGUUGGUUGGUUGGUUGGUUGGUUAAACACGUUGGUUAAACACGUUGGUUAAACACGUUGGCUGGUUAAACACGUUUGAUAGGCUCAAUUUAAACAAGCGAAAAAAAAAAACAUCUUGGAUCCCGUAUUUAACACAUGAAACGGAAACAUGCAUUGAUUUAUUGGUUGGUUGGUUGGUUGGUUGGUUGGUUGGUUGGUUGGUUGGUUGAUUAAACACGUUGGUUAAACAUGCUGGUUAAACACGUUAGUUAAACAUGCUGGUUAAACACGUAGUUUAAACACGUUUGAUAGGCUCAAUUUUAACAAGCGAAAAAAACCAUCUUGGAUCCCGUAUUUAACACAUGAAACGGAAACAUGCAUUGAUUGGUUGAUUGGUUGGUUGGUUGGUUGGUUGGUUGGUUGGUUGGUUGGUUAAACAUGUUGGUUAAACACGUUGGUUAAACACGUUGGCUGGUUAAACACGUUAGAUAGGCUCAAUUUAAACAAGCGAAAAAAAACAUCUUGGAUCCCGUAUUUAACACAUGAAACGGAAACAUGCAUUGAUUGAUUGAUUGGUUGGUUGGUUGGUUGGUUGGUUGGUUGGUGGAUGGUUGGUUGGUUGGUUGUUGGUUGGUUGGUUAAACACGUUGGUUAAACAUGUUGGUUAAACACGUUGGUUAAACACGUUGGCUGGUUAAACACGUUAGAUAGGCUCAAUUUAAACGAGCGAAAAAAAAACAUCUUGGAUCCCGUAUUUAACACAUGAAACGGAAACAUGCAUUGAUUGAUUGAUUGAUUGAUUGGUUGGUUGUUGGUUGGUUGGUUGGUUGGUUGGUUGGUUAAACACGUUGGUUAAACAUGUUGGUUAAACAUGUUGGUUAAACACGUUUGAUAGGCUCAAUUAAAACAAGCGGAAAAAAAGAGACCUUGAAUCCCGUAUCAAACAC
rnacentral:lncRNA from 1 species